UACGGAGGGGACUGGCGUUGUUCGGAAUUACUGGGCGUAAAGCGCGCGUAGGCGGAUUUGCAAGUCGGGGGUGAAAGCCCGAGGCUCAACCUCGGAACUGCCCUCGAUACUGCAAAUCUCGAGUCCGAGAGAGGUGAGUGGAAUUCCUAGUGUAGAGGUGAAAUUCGUAGAUAUUAGGAAGAACACCAGUGGCGAAGGCGGCUCACUGGCUCGGUACUGACGCUGAGGCGCGAAAGCGUGGGGAGCAAACAGG
rnacentral:rRNA from 1 species